AAUUGUUAUGUUAAGUUUAUAAAUUUUAUUGUAUAUUUAUAAAUUUCUUUUAAUUUUCGUUGGUUAAUUAUCGUUUUUUUAAAAAACAUUUAAUGAAAUUCUGAUUAAGAUGUAGAUCUACUGGUUUUGAUUGUUUUGUGUGGUAUUUUUUUUAUUAUGUUUUGUUAAUUUUUGUAUUUUUGGGGUUUAUUUCCGAUUUUUUGGGCUUUUCGUUUUUUGGGUUAAUUUUCCUUUUUUUUGGGUUAAUUUCGGUUUGUAGGGUUUAUUUUUGGAAUGGUGGUGGUGUGUAGUGGUGUCGGUGGUGGUGGGGUGGGGGUUGGUGUGAGUUUGGUGCUGGGUAUGUUAAUGAUUGGGGUGGUUUCGGUUUGGUAUGGGUGGGGUUUUGGUUAGGUUGUUGGGUCUGUUAGUGGUGGGUGAAUUUCGAUGUUGGUGGUGUUUUGGUGAUAAGGGUUGGGAUUUGGUUUAGGUGGGGGUUUUGGUGGGUGGUAAGGUGGGGUCUGGUGGGUUAGGGUUAGGUGGGUUAAGGUGGUGGGGCUGGUGGGUUACGGUGGUGGGCUUGGUGGGUUAAGGUAGUGGGUUAGGGUGUUUUUUUUUUCAGCGGUUUCCAACGGAUUGAGUCCGCCGGAAAUUUCCGACGGACUUUUUCGGUGCCGGAAAACCUCUUCCGACGACUGAAUUCCGUUGGAAAAGUGUUUCCGACGGAAAAGAUCAUUUUUCCUACAAAACGUUUUCCGACAACCAGUUCCGACGGAAAUUCCGUCAGAAACACCUUUUCCGACGGAAAAUAGGGUGUUUUCGACGGAUUUUUCCGUCGAAAAUGAACUGUUUUCUAGUAGUGACUGGAUAAGGAAAGGCAUGCAGACUAUUUGAGCAUGUUGAAGGGCUUUGAUGUAAAUCAGGCUGGGUUUGCAUAAAAGAUGGCUAGUGUAUGGGAGAAGGUUGCGGAUGAAACUAAAAGCUAUGGAAAUGGUGUUAGUUGACUUGUAAAUGUUGUAAAAGUUUUGCUUUGUUGUUUUGUAGUCUAAUUAAUGUACAAUUGGGAAUAAUAUGUUCCAUUCAGAUCUUUGUUGUUGAAGGUUUGUGCAUAGCUAACACCAUUUGGAAAGAGGUCUUUGAUAUCUAAUUCAUAAAAUUCAGCUUACAUCGAA